rnacentral:sRNA from 2 species
AUAUUUAUACCGCUGAAUCAAUUUGAACGGGAGAACCAAUUUUUGGGGUGAAUCUUGCCAAUAAGAGCAAGUAGGGUUAUUCUUCAACCCGAAUCCGUCAGCUAAUCUCGUAAGCGUUGGAGAGAAGUUUU